GGGCGGCGCGCCCCGGGCUCUGCCUCCCGGGCACUUGCCCGGCUCUGCGCGCUUCUGUCGUCCGCUCCGCCGCUGACACACGGUAGCGAGGACACCCGACGCCGCUAGCGACAGGCGCGUCCCAGAGGGACGCUGCACUUGGGGACUCCGGCGCGACCGGCCAGAAGAGGAAAGGAUACAUUCGAACUGGAUUUUUAAUCAUUGUAAGCCAGUGAUGAAUCAGAGGUUACAGAAUGCAAUGUCGAAUAAAAGUCUUCGAAAGAAUUGCUUCAAAUGACCAAAGAAAGAAAAUUGAUCUACCACCUUAAAACCUUGAUCUAGAAGAGCAUACUGCACAUGGUAGGAAGUGAUAACUGGGGAAAUUUAUUUGGCUCUUAAUGCACCUAAAUGAAGGAAUUGUCACUUUGUUUCUCAGAGGGCUUGUACGCCUGAGAUUAUUUUAAUAACCCAUAGUUCUAUUAACAUUUUGACAUGAUCACAAACGGGGAGAAACAGCAAUAGCUAAAGCCUGCUCAUUGGUCAAGAUGACUUCUGAAGAAAUGGCAGCUUCUGUUCUCAGACCUGUGACUCAGCGAAAAGUGAUAUCUGCUCAGUCGGCUGUAGAUGAAAGUAAUGAUAAGGUCUCGGACAUCAGUGUUGCAAAGGCUCAUCCUGUCAGGCAGAGCAGGGAGACCUCUCAUACCAUCUCACAACUGACCAAACUUACAGAAGAAUCUUCUGGAAGCAACUUGCCCCAGAUUCUCUCAGUAGCAAGUGAGAAAAUAAUGAGUGAUGAGAACAGUAAUGAAAAGUGCUGGGAGAAAAGCAUACCAGACUCUGUGAAAAACCUUAACAUUAACUGCAACAACAUACUGAAAAACCAUCAGUGUGGCCUUCCUCAGAGCCAGUUUUAUGAAACGUGUGAUUCUACCACAGAGGAAGGCCUGUGUUUGGAAACUGGAAUCCCUUCUUCACUGGAAAGAAAGGUGUUCCCUGGAAUUCAACUGGAAAUAGAUGGACCUCCCGCGGGCAUUAGUCCACUAGGAACUCAAUCAGCCAUCAUAGAGACGGGCAGGGCACACCCUGACAGCAACAUGGCGGUAUUUCACUUUCAGUAUGAAGUUGACAGAAGAAUGUCAGACACUUUCUGUCCCCUAUCAGAUAACUUGAUUUUGGAUGAUUGUGGAAACUGUGUACUACCUGCUGUUGGUGGGGAACAAAAGAACAAUUACAUGGCGUAUACUUGUAAACUGAUGGAAUUGGCAAGUAACUGUGACAAUAAGAAUAGGCAGCUGCAGUAUGAUCAUUGUGACCCCUUGAAUGACAAAUACUUGUGCUUUGAAGGCUCUUGCCCGAAGACCAAUGUAGUAUGUUCAAGUGACAGCUUUUGCGGGGAGGAUUUUACCGACAGUCCACCUGCCAAGACCUUUCUGAGCCAUUUUGAGGACUUCCCUGAUAAUUGUGAAGAUGUAGAAGAAGAUUUAUUCAAAAGCAAGAAGGAGCGGUCCACUUGGUUAGUGAGGAGAUUUUGUAAAAAUGACAGGGAAGUAAAGAAAUCUGUAUAUACUGGGACAAGGGCAAUUGUGAGAACUCUGCCUUCUGGUCACAUUGGGCUGGGGGCUUGGAGUUACGUUGAUCGGAAGAGAAACGGUCUCUUACUGCCUUGUGGGAGAGUCAUGGAACAGCUGUCAACAGUGCUGACUAGGCAAGAUGGGGGCCAGCGUCUGUCAGAAGCCCAGUGGUAUCCGAUCUACAGUGCAGUGAGAAGGGGAGAAGAAACAGAAGAGACAAUUAGAUCUCUUCUCCAUUUCUUCACAAAGCUUCCAGCCUCCGAGACAGCCCAUGAAAGGAUUAGCAUUGGUCCGUGCUUAAAGCAAUGUGUCCAAGACACUGUUUGUGAGUAUCGUGCCACCCUCCAAAGGACUUCCAUAUCUCAGUACAUCACCGGCUCUCUCCUAGAAGCCACCACAUCUUUAGGAGCAAGAAGUAGCCUUCUCAGUUCUUUUGGAGGAUCCACCGGACGAAUGAUGCUGAAAGAACGCCAACCAGGCACCUCUAUGGCCAAUUCCAGUGCCCUCCCUUCAAGUUCAGCUGGGAUCAGCAAGGAACUGGUUGAUCUGCAGCCCCUCAUCCAGUUCCCAGAGGAAGUUGCCAGUGUCCUGAUGGAACAGGAGCAGAAUAUUUACCGAAGGGUCCUGCCGGUUGACUAUCUUUGCUUCUUGACCCGGGACUUGGGCACUACGGAAUGCCAGAGGCCCCUGCCCUGCCUCAAAGCGUCCAUCUCAGCAUCCAUUCUUACCUCCCAGAACGGAGAGCAUAAUGCCCUUGAAGAUCUCGUGAUGAGAUUUAAUGAGGUGAGCUCCUGGGUGACGUGGCUGAUCCUCACGGCAGGCUCCAUGGAGGAGAAGCGGGAAGUCUUCUCGUAUUUGGUGCACGUGGCCAAAUGCUGCUGGAACAUGGGCAACUACAAUGCCGUCAUGGAGUUCUUGGCCGGCCUCAGGUCAAGAAAAGUCUUAAAAAUGUGGCAGUUUAUGGACCAGUCUGACCUGGAGACGAUGAGGGGCCUGAAGGACGCCAUGGCCCAGCAUGAAUCUUCCUGCGAGUACAGGAAGGUGGUGACUCGGGCGCUGCACAUCCCCGGCUGUAAGGUGGUUCCGUUCUGCGGGGUGUUUCUGAAGGAGCUCUGUGAGGUGCUUGACGGAGCCUCCGGCCUCAUGAAGCUUUGCCCGAGGUACAAUUCCCAAGAAGAAACUCUAGAGUUUGUAGCUGAUUAUAGUGGACAAGAUAAUUUCUUACAACGAGUGGGACAGAAUGGCUUAAAGAAUUCAGAGAAGGAGUCCACUGUCAACAGCAUCUUUCAGAUCAUCAGGAGCUGCAGUCGAAGUCUGGAGACAGAGGAGGAGGACAGCCCCAGUGAAGGGAACAGCUCUAGGAAAAAUUCCUUGAAGGAUAAAGCCCGACUGCAGUUCAUAAUUGGAGAUCUGUUGGAUUCUGAAAAUGACAUCUUUGAGCAGCCCCAAGAAUGGGACCCUCACGGAUCAGAAGAGCCACAGAAGGCCUUUGACCAUGGGACAGAGCUCAUCCCGUGGUACGUGCUGUCCAUCCAAGCUGAUGUACACCAGUUCCUGCUUCAGGGGGCCACGGUCAUCCACUAUGACCAGGACAUGCACCUCUCUGCCCGCUGCUUCCUCCAGCUUCAGCCUGACAAUAGUACCUUGACCUGGAUAAAGCCCACCACUGCUUCCCCAGCCAGUGCUAAAGCAAAACUUGGUGUGCUUAGUAACACAUCCGAGCCUGGCAAAUUCCCAUUACUGGGCAAUGCUGGAUUAAGUGGCCUGGCAGAGGGGGUCUUGGAUCUGUUUUCAGCAAAGGCUGUGUACAUGGGACACCCUAGCAUUGAUUUACACACUGUGUGUGUCCAGAACAAACUGAGUAACAUGUCUCUCUCAGAGACUGGUGUGACACUGCUCUACGGGCUUCAGACCACGGACAAUAGAUUAUUGCACUUUGUGGCACCAAAGCACACAGCUAAAAUGCUCUUCAGUGGAUUGUUGGAACUCACUAGAGCUGUGAGAAAGAUGAGGAAGUUCCCUGACCAAAGACAGCAGUGGCUGCGGAAACAAUACGUCAGCCUCUACCAGGAGGAUGGACGAUAUGAAGGCCCAACUUUGGCUCACGCUGUGGAGUUGUUUGGCGGCAGACGAUGGAGUACUCGAAACCCCAGUCCCGGGAUAUCAGCAAAGAGUGCUGAGAAGCCCAACAUGCAGAGAAACAACACGUUGGGUAUAAGCACCACCAAGAAAAAGAAGAAAAUCCUCAUGAGGGGUGAGAGUGGAGAGGCCACCGAUGACGAGAUGGCCACCCGCAAAGCCAAAACGAACAAAGAGUGUCGGAGUCGGAGUGGUUCUGAUCCUCAAGACGUUAAUGAACAAGAAGAAUCAGAGGCGAACGCCAUCACGAGCCCUCCUAACCCUCUCCCUUCCAGAAGAGCCCACUCUUUGACCACGGCUGGGUCCCCUAACUUGGCUGCCGGGACGUCAUCUCCCAUCAGGCCAGUGUCCUCCCCUGUGCUGUCUUCUUCAAACAAGAGCCCGUCCAGUGCUUGGAGCAGCAGCUGGCAUGGGCGGAUCAAAGGAGGAAUGAAGGGCUUUCAGAGCUUCAUGGUUUCAGACAGCAGCAUGAGUUUUGUGGAGUUUGUUGAGCUGUUCAAAUCAUUCAGUGUGAGGAGCCGCAAGGACCUGAAGGAUCUCUUUGACAUCUAUGCCGUACCCUGCGACCGAGCCGGCUCCGCGGCAGCGCCUCUCUACACCAACCUGACCAUUGACGAAAACACCAGUGGUCUUCAGCCUGACCUAGAUUUGUUGACCAGAAAUGUCUCCGAUUUGGGGUUAUUCAUUAAGAGUAAACAGCAGCUGUCCGACAACCAGAGGCAGAUAUCUGAUGCCAUUGCUGCUGCAAGUAUCGUGACAAAUGGCACUGGGGUGGAGAGCACAUCCCUGGGCGUAUUUGGAGUUGGCAUCCUCCAGCUCAAUGACUUCCUAGUGAAUUGCCAAGGAGAACACUACACUUACGAUGAAAUCCUCAGCAUCAUCCAGAAGUUCGAGCCUAGUGUUAGUAUGUGUCAUCAGGGCCUAAUGUCGUUUGAAGGAUUUGCAAGGUUUCUGAUGGAUAAAGAUAAUUUUGCCUCGAAAAAUGAUGAGUCCCAGGAGAACAUUAAAGAAUUGCAAUUGCCCCUCUCCUACUAUUACAUUGAAUCUUCACACAAUACCUACCUCACAGGCCAUCAACUCAAAGGAGAAUCCUCAGUGGAACUCUACAGCCAGGUCCUCCUGCAAGGCUGUAGGAGUGUAGAGUUGGACUGCUGGGACGGAGAUGAUGGGAUGCCCAUCAUUUAUCAUGGACACACCCUGACAACCAAGAUCCCCUUCAAGGAAGUGGUUGAAGCCAUCGAUCGCAGUGCCUUUAUCAACUCCGACCUCCCCAUCAUCAUAUCUAUUGAGAACCACUGUUCAUUGCCUCAGCAACGAAAAAUGGCAGAAAUUUUCAAGACUGUGUUUGGAGAAAAACUGGUGGCUAAAUUCUUAUUUGAGAGUGAUUUCUCAGAUGAUCCAAUGCUUCCCUCACCUGACCAACUCAGGAGGAAAGUGCUUCUCAAAAAUAAGAAGUUAAAAGCCCAUCAGACACCGGUGGAUAUAUUAAAGCAAAAGGCUCAUCAGCUGGCAUCCAUGCAAGCUCAGGCUUAUAAUGGUGGCAGUGCCAACCCUCCACCUGCUAAUAACGAAGAAGAGGAAGAUGAAGAGGACGAAGAUGAUUAUGACUAUGAAUCCCUCUCUGACGCAGAUGUCCUUACUGCUUCUCCUGUUCUUAACAGUCAGGAAGACAACAUUCUAGAAGACAGACCUGAAAAUAAAUCAUGUAAUGACAAACUUCAGUUUGAGUAUAAUGAAGAAAUCCCCAAGAGGAUAAAGAAAGCAGAUAACUCUGCUUGCAACAAAGGAAAGGUUUAUGACAUGGAACUGGGAGAAGAAUUUUAUCUUCCUCAGAAUAAAAAGGAAAGCAGACAGAUUGCACCAGAGCUUUCUGACCUUGUCAUCUAUUGCCAAGCAGUAAAGUUUCCAGGCCUGUCAACUCUAAAUGCAUCUGGCUCUAGCAGAGGAAAAGAAAGGAAAAGCAGGAAGUCCAUUUUUGGCAACAAUCCGGGCAGAAUGAGCCCCGGGGAGACAGCAUCAUUUAACAAAACAUCUGGAAAAAGUUCCUGUGAAGGAAUGCGACAGGCCUGGGAGGACUCGCCUUCCUCUGUCAACCCAGCCACGUCCCUCAGCGCUAUCAUUAGAACUCCCAAAUGCUACCACAUCUCCUCGCUGAAUGAAAAUGCCGCCAAACGUCUGUGUCGCAGGUAUUCUCAGAAACUGAUCCAGCACACUGCCUGCCAGCUGCUGAGGACGUAUCCGGCUGCCACCCGCAUCGACUCAUCCAACCCCAGCCCCCUCCUCUUCUGGCUCCAUGGGAUACAGCUCGUGGCGCUCAACUACCAGACAGAUGAUCUCCCUUUACAUUUAAAUGCUGCCAUGUUUGAGGCCAACGGUGGCUGUGGUUAUGUUCUGAAACCCCCAGUUCUGUGGGACAAGAACUGUCCCAUGUAUCAGAAGUUUUCUCCCUUGGAAAGAGACCUGGACAACAUGGAGCCUGCCGUCUAUUCUUUAACUAUUGUCUCUGGGCAGAACGUGUGCCCGAGUAACAGCACGGGAAGCCCGUGUAUAGAGGUCGACGUCCUGGGCAUGGCCCUGGAUAGCUGCCACUUCCGCACGAAGCCCAUCCACCGCAAUACUCUGAACCCCAUGUGGAAUGAACAGUUCCUCUUCCGGGUUCACUUUGAAGAUCUCCUAUUUCUUCGAUUUGCCGUUGUGGAGAACAACAGCUCGGUGGUAACUGCUCAGAGAAUCAUCCCCCUCAAGGCUCUAAAGCGAGGAUAUCGACAUCUUCAGCUGCGAAACCUCCACAAUGAAGUCUUGGAAAUCUCUAGUUUAUUCAUAAACAGCAGGAGGAUGGAAGAAAAUUCCUCUGGCAAUACUAUGCCGGCCUCUUUGAUGUUUAAUACAGAAGAAAGAAAAUGUUUGCAGAUUCACAGAGUCACAGUACAUGGGGUCCCAGGUCCAGAGCCCUUUGCUGUUUUCUCCAUAAAUGGAGGCACCAAGGCAAAGCAGCUUCUCCAACAAAGUCUGACCAUUGAUCAAGACACCAAACCUAUUGCCACAGACUAUUUUUUAAUGGAAGAAAAAUAUUUUAUAUCUAAAGAAAAGAAUGAAUGUAGGAAACAACCAUUCCAGAGAGCCAUUGGUCCAGAAGAAGAGAUCAUGCAGAUUUUAAGCAGCUGGUUUCCAGAAGAGGGAUAUGUUGGCAGGAUUGUCUUAAAAACCCAGCAGGAAAACCUGGAAGAGAAGAGCAUCGUUCAAGAUGACAAGGAGAUGAUCUUGAGCUCAGAGGAGGAGAGUUUCUUUGUCCAAGUGCAUGACGUUUCUCCAGAGCAACCGCGAACGGUCAUCAAGGCGCCCCGCGUCAGCACCGCGCAGGACGUCAUUCAGCAGACCUUAUGCAAAGCCAAAUAUUCCUAUAGCAUCUUGAGCAACCCGAACCCGGGUGAUUAUGUGCUUUUGGAAGAGGUGGUGAAAGACACUGCCAACAGGAAGUCUUCUACCCCAAAGUCCUCCCAGCGUGUCCUUUUGGAUCAGGAGUGUGUUUUCCAAGCUCAAAGCAGGUGGAAAGGUGCAGGAAAAUUUAUCCUUAAGCUAAAGGAACAAGUGCAGGCAUCCCGAGAAGACAAAAGAAAAGGCAUCUCUUUUGCAAGCGAACUCAAGAAGCUCACCAAGUCGACUAAACAGCCCCGAGGACUCACAUCACCUUCUCAGGUCUUGGCCUCAGAAAAUGUCCAAAACAAGGAGGAGAAACCUGUGGGCGGCUUGUCCUCCAGUGACACGAUAGACUAUCGACAGUGAGCAGGGGUAGCACGUUUUACCCAGGUAUUCUGAGUCACUGCACUGUUCUGAAACCGGGGGUCAACUUACACUGCUUUGUAAGACACAGUCUGUACACUGUCGUUUGUCUUUUCCAAGAGGAGAAUGUCCCCGAGGCAGGUAGGAAUGGUACCCUACAGGAAAAGGGCUCUGAAGAUACACAUCACUUCAGCACUGAUAAUUUUAGAUCUCCUUAUUUUGUAGAUAACUAAAGGCCCCAAGAGGACAACAAACUUGCCCAAACUACAACAGCCUUAUUUCAUCAGACACAGAACUGUCUUAAUUACUGGUGAAGAUCUUUGGGCAAGAAGUUAUAAAGUCAAGAAUGAACAUGAUGGAAACAAAUAUAACUUCCUUAUUUUCAUUAGACUUAAACUGGAAAUUGCUGAUUUCUGAACUUGCGAUAUGAGGUCCACACUGAGGUCAAGCAAAAUGGCACAGGGCUAGCUACCAACCAGUUUCCUGAUGAAGCAAAGAAGCCCAGCAGACUGCCAUUUUACAUGUGUCAACAGUUGGAAAAACCAUUGCUAACCUUGCAAUAGUUGACUUAGAACAAGGGUCAACAAACUUUGUAAAGGGCUAGACAGUAAAUAUUUUAGGCCUUAUGGGCCAUAUGGUCUCCACUGCAAUGACUCAACUCAGCUGUAGUACAAAAGCAGCCAUAGACAAUAUAUACGUGAAUGAAUGUGGCUGUGAUCCAAGAAAACUACAUAAAGACACUGAAAUUGUAAUUUCAUAUAAUUUUCCCAUGUAAUAAAUAUUCCUCUUUUGGUGUUUAAAAAUCAUUAAAAAAUGUAAAAACUAUUCUUAGUUCAAGAGCCAUACGAAACCAGGUGGCAGGCUGGAUUUGGCCCAAGGGCCAUAGUUUGCUGACCUGACUUAGAAAACUGGGAACAAGAUGCAGAAGUAUGAAAACAAGCAGGCUAGUUUAGUCAUACAUUUUAUGGCUGAGAAUUGGAAGAUUUUGGGCAUUGCAAGUGUAAAUAUGUCCUAUGAGAUUCAUUUAAAAGUAAUUCAACUUAGUUUCUAUAUUGUGUACCAUUGUGAAUUCUGUAGUAUUUCUUUUUAGCUACAGAAUGAUGUUGGGUUUUUUUACGUUUAUUGCUUAUACAUUCACAGACUUUUGUUUUCCAUAAAAUGAAUUUAGAAUAACGUAUAAUAUCUACUGAGUUGUGACAUCUUAACAAGAAACUUAACCAUGUUUUUAAAGCAAAAGUAGAUUGUUGGUGUUUAUUUAUUUUACUAGGUUUGUACUGACAUUGUACCUAUAUAUUUAUUAUACAUAGCUUUCUUGAUAUUGCUUGCAGAUUAGAAGCGUUAGUGGUUCUAGCUCACUAUUUGAAGACAAAUCUCCUAAAAAGAAAAAAUGUAUGCUCUGAAUAUCUGAAAUAGGCCAGAAUUUCAUGUAACUUGCCAUUUAAUGUAAAUUAUUUUAAAAAACCUUGCUGUAUAAAACUAUCAUGUACGUGUAAAGGAUUCUUCUUAUUCUUGGCAUGAAACAAAUUAUGAUUUUUAAAAUGAAAGGUGUUCCUCUAAGUAAAAUCCAAAUUUUAUCUUUCUAUUGACAUUAAAAUUUUUUUUUUUUUUUUUUUUUUUUGUGGUAUGCGGGCCUCUCACUGUUGUGGCCUCUCCCGUUGCGGAGCACAGGCUCCGGACGCGCAGGCUCAGCGGCCGUGGCUCACGGGUCCGGCCGCUCCGCGGCAUGUGGGAUCCUCCCGGACCGGGGCACGAACCCGUGUGCCCUGCAUCGGCAGGCGGACUCUCAACCACUGCGCCACCAGGGAAGCCCUGACAUUAAAAUUUAAGAUGUUUUUCUUCAAAUUAUAAAACACACUAAAAAUCCUAACUUUUGCUUUGAGAAGUUUUUCACCAUAAAAAAUGAAUAAAACAACCCCCAAGUUCUUUGCAUACGCUAACAGAAGUGUUAAAAACACACAGCCCAGCUUUCGUGUUAUUGGAAGUUCUGAGUCAAAGCUUUAAUGCUAGAAGAGCCACGUUUGCUUGUCCACAGAAUUCAGGCUAUUCCAGUUUGAUGUCGUUUGUACAGUGCUGCAGGUUUCUUUUUAAAUCAAAUAAUCAGUCUACAACAAAUGUACAAUGCUGCCUCAUUUUUAAAAAUAUUCCAGAAACCGUAAUCAGGUUUCUCUAAACUAAGAGGCAUUUUUUUCCUCUGGUUGGGCUUUACUGUGUCAUAAAAAUUGGGUUACUGGUCUAACUGGCAAGAGUCAAGAUGAAAACUGUGCAGAGUUACGAGAUGGAAAGCAAGAUUGGUCUCACUAGGUUUAUCACUUGGCCUUGACUCUAAGCCCUGCAGCACCCCACCCCAUGGCCCUUAGCACAAAAUCUGAAACUUACCUUGAGACUGAAAGGGAGACUAGGUUUUAGCAAGUGAGUGAACCCAACCUCCGGCCUAUGUUGCAGCCCAGCUUGGUGGUUCAUUUUGAGGUGAAAGGACAUACUCUACUGUAUUUGAGUCUUGGGGGCUUUACGGGGGACUACUCUACUAUUACAGCUAACCAGCACAACCUGGUGUUUGCCAAAAGUAGGAAAUUUUGAUUUAGAUCUUCUCUGAAUUAUACAGUUAUAUUACUAUAGCAAAUGAAAGAAAUUAUCCCAUUUAGAAUGCAUCUAAAAUAGUCACCCACACUAUACCCAUUACUACUUCAUACUUUCCAUACCAUUAAAAAUUUGGGUAGCAAGCUUUCAUCAGUAAAGUCGAUAUGGAAAAGAAUCUAAAUAUAUACAAGCUGGCUGAAACCCCCACCAAGAGGGAGAAAUGAAGGGUAUGGUGCCCACAAGCACGCAAACCCCAGACCGGUCGGAGCCAGAAGGUUGAUGAUGCUGACUCCCACUUACCUCACCACCAACCAAUCAGAAUGUCCAUGCGCUGACGGCGCCCUCUUUGAACCAUUACUAUAAGACUCCUCACUACCCCCUCCAGGUCGGGACACGCAGUUUUGAGGGCAUUAGCCCCCUGUGGCCCCCUUUGCCUGGCAAAGCAAUAAGCUGUUCUUUUCUACUUCACCCAAUAAACGAACAAACAAAAAUGCAAGCUGUAUUUAUUACAAGAUUUUGAAAAAAAACUUUUAAAAUGCUUCACUAAAAACAAAGGAGCAUGAAUUCUGUUAGGUGGUGCCACUUUUAAGAUUAUGAUAGCUGGCAAGAAAAGAUUAGAAUAAGAAUCCGAUGUGAUGUGUGAUGCUGGAAAAAACAGAUUAACUUCCUCUUAAGUCACCUCCUCUGUAAUUGUUUUGCAAACUAAUGUGAGAUUAUAUAAGGGUGUGAAGGAGUUGAGAAUAAGUUUGAGGAUAAAUCUGCAGGAAGUAACAUUAUUUGGGCAGAAAGUGCCUUCUUAAAGGAACGUCUCUUUUCGUGUCAUCCUUACCAAGUAAAAGUUAUUUAUAAAUUCUCCAGCUGGGGAGAAAUAUGGAGUCUAGACUCAGCAAAA